rnacentral:sRNA from 1 species
CCUUCUUCAAGGCCUCAUCAUGUCACUCCCAUUUUCUACAGAUCAAAGAUUCCCCAAGGCUCUGAUUCCUUUAACCUCUUGCUCUCCCCUUCCCAGCCCGCCAAGCUUUAACUCUCCUGUGACACCCCCCACGCCCCUCCCCCCUCCCCAGAAAUGUGAGGCAGCUUUCGCCACGAAGGAUCGGCUGCGGGCGCACACAGUACGACACGAGGAGAAAGUGCCAUGUCACGUGUGUGGCAAGAUGCUGAGCUCGGCUUAUAUUUCGGACCACAUGAAGGUGCACAGCCAGGGCCCUCACCAUGUCUGUGAGCUCUGCAACAAAGGUACUGGUGAGGUUUGUCCAAUGGCGGCGGCAGCGGCGGCAGCGGCGGCGGCAGCAGCAGCAGCAGCAGUAGCAGCCCCUCCCACAGCUGUGGGCUCCCUCUCGGGGGCGGAGGGGGUGCCUGUGAGCUCUCAGCCACUUCCCUCCCAACCCUGGUGAGCUCCAAGUUGGUUGCGGGGGAGAGGGGAGAAUGGAGUAGAGUCCCUUGGUACAGGCUCCUCUCCCCCCUCUUUUCCCACCAACUCCUAUUUCCCCACCAACCAAGAAGCCUCCAGAAGGAAAGGAGGAAGAAAUGUUUUCUUAGGGGAAUUCGCUAGGUUUUAACGAUUUGUUUCUCCUGCUCCUCUCUUCUAUCAGACCUGACCCCACACAAACCUGUCCCCUCGGUUGUGUUGAAGUCCCCUGGACAGUGGGCAGGGGUGGCAGAGGACACGAGCAGCCACUGCCCGUACCCCCUCUCCUCUCUGUAAGCCCAUGCCCUGUCUUCCCAGGGACUUGUGAGCCUCUUCCCUCGACGGUCCUCUUCUCUCCUUCCAGUCCUCUCCCCCUGCUGUCUGCAGCCCCUCCCCGGGGAGUUGGUGCUUUCUUUUCCUUUUUUUUUUUUUUUUUCCAGGGGGAGGGAGGAGAGGAAGGAGGGGGAUCAGAGCUGUCCCAGAGAGGGAAAGCGGUGAGGUUUGAGGAGGGGCAGAAGCAGGGCCGGCAAAGGUUGUACCUUCAUAAGGUGGUAUGGGGGUUUGGGGUCAGGCCCUGAACAUCGUCCUACUUGAGAAUCUGUCAGGGGAAAAAGUCAAGGGGAGCAGGAGGAGCCAGGAGGGCCAGAGGCAGAGAAGAGAUGGAGUCUUAGGGGCCAGGGUGAGCGAGGGGUCCAGGGCCUAGAGGUGCUUCCUGGGGGUGGGGGAAUGCAGCCAGUGUCCCCCGCCCCUCUUCCACCCCAGCUCCAGCCCUGGUCUUGUCUUUUCAUCCCUCUUCCCCACGACAGAAGAAGUUGUGGCCCUGG